AUAUUUAUAGAUUUAAUUUAGAGUUAAUUAAAAAAUUACUUUGAUGGAAAUAUUUAAAGUUAAAAAGUUUAAUUAAAUUUGUACCUUUUGUAUAAUGGUUACACAAUAAUUAUAUUGGUUUAUAUUUCCCGAAUCAAGAAGAGCUAACUUUCAUGUUAUAGAAUAGAAUAAUAAAAAGAUUAUGUUGAAAUAUGAUCCUGAAACAGAUAGUUGGUAGUGAAAAACUCUCAAUUCUUGGGAUAUCUGGUAAUCUUAGAAAAGCAUUUAGUGCUGAAGAGUUAUACAUAAAGUGAUUAGAUUUUAUGUAAAUAAAAUUUUUAUUUUUAGCGUGAUUUUCUAAUGUUAAUCCAGAGGAAAAAUCAACUGUGCUAAUAUUUCUUAUUUAAAAAAUUUAUUACAAUAUAAGAUUUUUCUAAUCAACUAGGUGUAGAAAUAAAAAUGUGUAAAUGAGUAUUAACUUUAAUUUUGAUUACUUAAAUUUUGUAUCUAAGUUUAUCCUACCAAAUAUAAAUUUUUAAUCAGUUCAAAGGAACUCGGCAAAUAUAGAUUUCGACUGUUUAACAAAAACAUAGCCUUAGGAAUAUUGAUCUAAGGUUAAACCUGCCCAAUGUGUAACUUAUGAAAAUAAAUUAUCAAUGGCCGCGGUACUUUGACCGUGCUAAGGUAGCGCAAUCAAUUGGCUUUUAAAUGGAGUCAGGUAUGAAUGGAAUUACGGAGUUUAGCUGUCUCUGAACUGCUUUAUAGAAAUUACUUUAUAGGUGAAAAAGCCUAUAUAAAGAUAAAGGACGAGAAGACCCUUAGAGUUUUUUUUAAUAUAAAUUAUUUAUUUACGAUGAUUUAGUUGGGGCAACAUAAGAACAGAUAGAGUAUAACUUCUUGGAAUUUACAUAUCGAUUUUUAUAAGUAUGAAUAAACUACCUUAGGGAUAACAGCAUAAUUUAAAAUAUAAGUUUGUGACCUCGAUGUUGGACUAGGAAACUAAUGGGCUAGCCGCUUUUUAGAAAGGUUCUGUUCGAACUAAAAAUCCUACAUGAUCUGAGUUCAGACCGGCGUAAGCCAGGUCAGAUUCUAUCCUUAAAAUUUGGAUAUUUAGUACGAAAGGACCACUAUUCAGUACAGUUAAUG
rnacentral:rRNA from 1 species